UACGGAGGGGGCUAGCGUUGUUCGGAAUUACUGGGCGUAAAGCGCGCGUAGGCGGACCUGCAAGUCGGGGGUGAAAGCCCGAGGCUCAACCUCGGAACUGCCUUCGAUACUGCGGGUCUCGAGUCCGGGAGAGGUGAGUGGAAUUCCUAGUGUAGAGGUGAAAUUCGUAGAUAUUAGGAAGAACACCAGUGGCGAAGGCGGCUCACUGGCCCGGUACUGGACGCUG
rnacentral:rRNA from 1 species